UGAGCAAUCUGCCCUUCUCUUCGGAAUAAGCGUGGGAAACCGCGUCUAAUGCCGAAUACGACCUCCUUUCGCAUGAUCGGAGGUGGAAAGCUCCGGCGGAGAAGGAUGAGCUCGCGGCCUAUCAGCUAGUUGGCGUGGGUAGUGGCCCACCAAGGCGACGACGGGUAGCCGGCCUGGGAGGGUGACCGGCCACACGUGGGACUGAGACACGGCCCAGACCUCCGUACGGGAGCAGCAGG
rnacentral:rRNA from 1 species